UACGUAGGGGGCGAGCGUUGUCCGGAAUUAUUGGGCGUAAAGAGCGUGUAGGCGGUUCGGUAAGUCUGCCGUGAAAACCCAGGGCUCAACCCUGGGCGUGCGGUGGAUACUGCCGGGCUAGAGGGUGGUAGAGGCGAGUGGAAUUCCCGGUGUAGCGGUGAAAUGCGCAGAUAUCGGGAGGAACACCAGUAGCGAAGGCGGCUCGCUGGGCCAUACCUGACGCUGAGACGCGAAAGCGUGGGGAGCAAACAG
rnacentral:rRNA from 1 species